rnacentral:tmRNA from 1 species
AAUAAGCGUCAACCAGCCUGUUCUCGCUGCCGCGGCCUAAGCCCCGCGGCCGUCUCCCUGGGCUCCGCCGGCGAGCCCGGAGGGGGCGUGACCAGGCCGGCUGCUCCCGGUCGCCGCGCUCCGGGCGGCCGGGCUAAGAACCAAGGAGCUGGGCCUCGGGCUAUCCCGCCUGCGGGAGAGCCCCAGGCGAGAGCAGAUCGCAGGCUACGCGCGUAGACGCCUCGCCCUCACCUGUUCAGGACGCGGGUUCGAUUCCCGCCGCCUCCACCA